CUGGAAAUCACCAUGGACUCUAUAGCUGUGUUUCUCUUUCUACUGUCAGUCCUCAAGCCAGGCUUUUCUGAAAUCCGCUUGACCCAGUCCGGUGGGGAGACAUGGAAGCCUGGAGCAACUCUCCGGCUGACCUGCGCGGUCUCUGGAUACAGCAUGACUUCUGGGUAUAACUGGAAUUGGAUCCGCCAGCCACCCCAGAAAGGACUGGAAUGGAUAGGGAGGGGAUACUACAGCAGUUCCAACUGGAAGACAAAUUAUGGCUCAGCUUUCCAGAGCAGGAUCUCCAUCACGGCUGAUGCCUCCAAGAACGAAUAUUAUCUUGAGCUGAGGUCCCUGACAGCUGCCGACACAGCCGUGUAUUACUGUGCCCGAGGAUCACAGUGA